UGCGCCCGUGGCGGAAUUGGCAGACGCGCUGGAUUUAGGUUCCAGUACCUCCGGGUGUGGGAGUUCAAGUCUCCCCGGGCGCACCC
rnacentral:tRNA from 1 species